rnacentral:lncRNA from 1 species
GAUGAGAGAUGGUAGUGGAGGUGGAGGAAUUGUGGCGAGUGCAGAGAGAGAGAGAGGGAGGAGAGGAUGGAGAAGGGCUGUGUGUGGGAGGGUUUGAACGAGGCAAUAAACGAGGUGGUUGCGUAAAGGAAAACAAACUCUGUCAUAAAGCCAAAGAGCCUCUAUUACCCUUACGAUUUUGUUUUCUUUCUCUUUUACUGAAGCAAUCAUCCAAGCAAAGGCUCACUUCCUGCAAAGUUUCACUCGUUCACGUUCAAAAUGGAGGUGGUGAGGAAGAAAGCCAGGUAAAUUGAACCUCUGGGUGCUCCUCGACCAGUGAGCGGCGGGGGAGGAGAGGGAGGGCGGAGUGAUACCGUGACGUAACUGAGAGGCGCGCAUUCAUUGGUUACCGCUAGGAAAAGCUGGCCAAGGAACAGAGAAUGCGGGUUGCCGUGACUAGGAAGAAGAGUGUACGGGCGAAGAGACUUAAAUGUUUCGUUUUUCUUUCCGUUUAGUGGGUGUGAGUACAACUGAGUGCAUCGGAAACGAACUGCGAGUGUCGUGCUGAGCGUGUGGAACGAGCAAACAAGGAUCGGUGGAGGGAUGAUCAGGAUUUGGGUAGCUGAGGGUGCCAGGACCGUCCAAGCCCCAGGGUGGCUGGAUUGGUGGAGGAGAUUCGUGGAAUAGGAGGAAGUUAAUAUUACGAGGCACUACGAGAAGGGUCCCCGUGAAGCCUUUGUCCCCAGCGUCGACAUCAUAACUCUGCAUUUAUAGUCACCUAAUAAACAACAUCACGGAGGGACGCGAAUGUACGCGGAGAAAUUUCCUAUCGUCACCUGUCACCACCUGUCCUUCCACUCCUGCUGCAUCGAGUACAGAACUAUUACAAACUGCUGCUCGCUAUCAUCUAUAUCUCCUCUGCUUUCCUUAUCCGAUUUUGUCAGCCUUUCCUCUCACUCCCCUCCCUGCAUGCGCUUCAAAUCCUCUGCCAGCCCAUUAGUCUCCCUUUCCGCUCCUCUCGCUUUCCUCUCUCCUCCCACACAUCCGUCUCUAUCCUCCCCUCGUCUCAGCGAAGAUUUACACCCAAUGAGAAGUGUGAUUGGCCAAGGUCAAGAGCGAGGCAGCCAAUCAAAACUCUCGAAUAUUUGGCAGUCGAAGAGUAGCCGAUAAGGGAAAUAUGUUUGGGGCAUGAGCGGAAGGAGCGCGAUAAAAGGUCCUUGACAGAUGCUCCUCGAUAAGAGCCCAGCGAGGAGAGGCAGACCUUUUAACACUGCGGGGAGAGAGGGAGCAAAAACGAUAAAGAUAACGUGCUGAUAAGAAACUCAAGGUGGCGUGUUGUGAGAAAAGUAACUGAGAUGUCUUGGUGAGAAGAAUAAAGAACUAUCAAGUGACAAAGGAAGAUAAAGAACAAAGAAUCAUCACUCACUUUGUUUCCACUUGUGCCAUUCAAAACAAUACUCUCGUAGCUUCUAGUACAUGAAUUUACUGAGUCUGGAAAGAAGCCACAGCGUUUAUAGGGUUUAAAGACGACAGUGAAUGUGUUAGAGAAGUUUAAUGAAGAAAAAUGGAGGAAAUUGUGACAGCGUGUGUUUUCAUAAAGAGCACCAUUGACUCUUUAUUUUUAAUCGACCGAGAGUGCAAUAAAAAGGUCAGAUGAAUGAGAUGGGACAAAAUAAAAGUAGUAUUCUAAGCACGAAUGACAUUAUUGGGCAUAUUGCCAGGGUCAGAGAGAACGAGAGAGAGAGAGAGAGAGAGAGAGAGAGAGAGAGAGAGAGAGAGAGAGAGAGAGAGAGAGCACUUCUACCUCUCUCAGAAUCAUUCAGUGGAUCGUGAGAAGGAAAACAAAAUAACAACGGAAUCGAAGUUGUAAAUAUUGGAAUGUCAUUUUACUCGCGAAAACUGCCAAUAGCGAGCGACCACUGCAGCUGUAAAUAUAACAUGAACGCAAGGCAAGUGGAGCUGGAACUGCACCAAUGGAAUAUGAAGACCAAUAAAAAUAACAAAAAUGCGUAUGACUGAAAUUUCAAAACACGAAGAGAAAGAAGGAAUACGAGAUUUUUAAAGCUAAAGAAAACGAGGGAAAAAAGUGGGUAAAACAAAAAACUAGGGUAGAUAACAAAGGAUGCAAAUGAAAGAACUAUAAAGUAGGACGAAAUCUGUGAACUAAGUGUGAGGUUAAGCGGAAGAAUAAUUAUGAUAAAGAGAGAAGAGUAUAUUGGAGGUCAGAAUGGCGGAAAAUGGAGGCCAAUAGGUGGAAGAGAGGAAGAGAGGAAGAAGAGGAAGGAGAAAGGCAUUGUGGACGAGGAGAAAAAAAAGGGAAAGAGGAGAAAGAAAGGGAAGGAGUAGAUUGAGGAUGAGAAUAAGGAGGAGCAGGAGGAGGAAGAGGAGGAGGAGGAGGAGGAAGAGGAGGAGAAGGAGGAGGAAGAGGAGGAGGAGAAUGAGGACAUAAGUGUAGGUGGAGAAAAAUGAAGCUAUUUACCUGCCAUCAUUUGGCAAGAUCUACUCACUACCUCCUCCUCUUCCACCUUCUUCUUCUUCUUCCUCCUCCUCCUCCUCCUCCUCCUCUUCGUCUAUGCUUCUGGUGUCGUCGUAUUCAUGUCUAACUUUGUGUCGUAAAUUCAUAAAGUUUCGCUUCACACAUUUCAGUGAUAUAUUUCCUUGCUAAGCCUCCUCUCUCUCUCUCUCUCUCUCUCUCUCUCUCUCUCUCUGGCCAAAAAUGCCUCCUGUGCAGUGAGUGACAUAUAAGGAAGGAAAAGGAAGAACGUCGA